GUAGGUGGCAAGCGUUGUCCGGAAUUAUUGGGCGUAAAGCGCGCGCAGGUGGGUUCUUUAAGUCUGAUGUGAAAGCCCCCGGGCUCAACCGGGGAGGUCAUUGGAAACUGGGGAACUUGAGUGCAGGAGAGGAAAGUGGAAUUCCACGUGUAGCGGUGAAAUGCGUAGACAUGUGGAGGAACACCAGUGGCGAAGGCGACUUUCUGGCCUGUAACUGACACUGAGGCGCGAAAGCGUGGGGAGCAAACAGGAUUAGAUACCCUGGUAGUCCACGCCGUAAACGAUGAGUGCUAAGUGUUGGGGGGUUUCCGCCCCUCAGUGCUGCAGCUAACGCAUUAAGCACUCCGCCUGGGGAGUACGGUCGCAAGACUG
rnacentral:rRNA from 1 species